CAGUCGCCGCGGUAAUACGGAGGGCGCGAGCGUUACCCGGAUUUACUGGGCGUAAAGGGCGUGUAGGCGGCCUGGGGCGUCCCAUGUGAAAGGCCACGGCUCAACCGUGGAGGAGCGUGGGAUACGCUCAGGCUAGAGGGUGGGAGAGGGUGGUGGAAUUCCCGGAGUAGCGGUGAAAUGCGCAGAUACCGGGAGGAACGCCGAUGGCGAAGGCAGCCACCUGGUCCACUUCUGACGCUGAGGCGCGAAAGCGUGGGGAGCGAACAGGAUUAGAUACCCCAGUAGUCCCUGUCUCUUAUAC
rnacentral:rRNA from 1 species